UAGCGGUAGAAUGCGAGCCUACCAACCGUGAGACACGGGUUCGAAUCUG
rnacentral:tRNA from 1 species